CCUACGGGGGGCUGCAGUGGGGAAUAUUGGGCAAUGGGCGCAAGCCUGACCCAGCAACGCCGCGUGAAGGAAGAAGGCUUUCGGGUUGUAAACUUCUUUUAUUGAGGACGAAACAAAUGACGGUACUCAAUGAAUAAGCCACGGCUAACUACGUGCCAGCAGCCGCGGUAAUACGUAGGUGGCAAGCGUUAUCCGGAUUUACUGGGUGUAAAGGUCGGGUAGGCGGAACUGCAAGUCAGAUGUGAAACCCAUGGGCCAAACCCAUGGCCUGGAUUGGAAACUGUAGUUCUUGAGGGGUGGAGAGGCAGGCGGAAUUCCGUGUGUAGCGGGGAAAUGCGUAGAUAUACGGAGGAACACCAGUGGCGAAGGCGGCCUGCUGGACAUUAACUGACGCGGAGGCGCGAAAGCGUGGGGAGCAAACAGGAUUAGAUACCCUGUAGUC
rnacentral:rRNA from 1 species